GAAUGAGAUCGUGCUUUUCAAUCUGAAGUGUCAUAUCUUAAAGAAAUUCACCGUGGACAUCAAGUGGAAGGAUGGCCCAGUCAUCACAAGACUUCUAACAUUUAUCCCAUUAGUUUGGCACAUCAUCUUCAGAUAACCUUCAACUUAAAUGAUGUCCCGGUUACUGUGCAGGAAAAGUCCUGCGGGGAAGGCCCUUAGUACUUUACCAAUCAGCACACUACAGGUAAUGAUUGCAAUAUGAAGCCUCAUGAACGAAUGGGGCUUCACAGCCAUUGUGUCAA
rnacentral:lncRNA from 1 species